rnacentral:rRNA from 1 species
UACGUAGGGACCAAGCGUUGUUCGGAUUUACUGGGCGUAAAGGGCGCGUAGGCGGGUGCUCAAGUCCGUGGUGAAAUCCUCCGGCUCAACCGGAGAACUGCCUCGGAUACUGGGUGCCUCGAGGGUGGUAGGGGUAUGCGGAACUAUCGGUGGAGCGGUGAAAUGCGUUGAUAUCGAUAGGAACUCCGGUGGCGAAGGCGGCAUACUGGACCACCUCUGACGCUGAGGCGCGAAAGCCAGGGGAGCAAACGGG